UUUGAGCACUGUCCUUUUUUUUCUUUCCUUUUUUUUUUUUAAUAUAAAUGAGUGUUCAAGCUCAGAACUCCAUAGAAAUUUAAACAACUUAUGCACAGCCCUUUGAAAGCGCCCACCGCUCCCAGAUUUUCUGCUGCAGCCAAAGGAGAGUCCAGCUUUCCAGUUCCGAUUUCCCAGGGGUUCGGAGGAGUGCUGCUUCCCAGGGCAGUGAGCGGGAUGGGGGCCGUGUGCCCUCUGCUGGGAGAGCUUUGUAACGUCAGGCGUUCCUCUGGAAGCGCCGUUGCCGCAUUCCAGGAUGUCCUGCGCGGUUGAUUACCAACGUGCUUGAGUUGGCAUUCCAAAAGAAGUUUCUUUCGGUUGCUCCUGGGAAAACUCAUGUUGCAAUUUCAGAGCGUUGAAGUGUGCUAAUCGUGGAGUCUGUUCCAUGUGCAUGGAAGAGAUGAUUGUGACCCAUGGUCCUGUACAAGAAAAAAGGAAAAAGAUCUUCAAGUGAGCAAGUAGUUCGUGCACACCUUAAUAUAGAAGUAGAAACACCAGGAAACCAAGCCCUAUCCAAGAAUCUGGUUCUGCUAAGGAAGCCUCUGACUUGUCUUCUGGGGAGUGUUCAGGAAUCAUUUUGAUGAAUUCCAAUUAAGAGUCUUUUUGACACCAGAGGAUGCAGAGGUCAAAGGAUGCCCUGAGCAGCACAUAACAGACUACAUGGAGCAGAGAUAAAGUGAGCACAACGAGACUUGCACAGUACACACAGCGUGUUCCUUAUCUACAGGAUGAGACGAGGCUGUUUUAAUAACUACCAUGAUGAAGAUGGAGAUGAACUUAUAUACAAGAGGAAUUGCCUUCACAUUACACACAUUAUCUUCCUACAAAGCAGCAAUUGUUUUUUGCAAAUAACAUAAUAUUAAAUAAUUGGUAGAA